GUUCUCCCCAUGUCUGCGUGGGUUUCCUCUCACAGUCCAAAGACAUGCAGGUUAGGUGCAUUGGCGAUCCUAAAUUGUCCCUAGAGUGUGCUUGGUGUGUGGUGGGCUGGUGCCCUGCUCAGGAUUUGUUCCUGCCUUGUGCCCUGUGUUGGCUGGGAUUGGCUCCAGCAGAUCCCUGUGACCCUGUAGUUAGGAUAUAGCGGGAUGGAUGGAUGGAAUUUGUAAGGAAAAAGAGUUUUUUCCAUUUCCCUUUUGUUGUCACAAACAUGUGCCGGAAACACGGAAGGCACAGAUCAAUACUCGACGGACGUAUUUGGUAGGUUUUUAAGCUUUUCCUCCGUGCCCUAGAGCCUCCACUGUAAAGUGCCACAGCAGGUAGGACAUUUCUUUAAAUUUAAAGAAAGCGAUUAACUUUGGAACAUAAUUUCACGUGGCUAUCACAUCUGUAAGGAAAUAACUUUGAUAUGAAAAACACAGAACCUUUAAUAAAAAUGAAUGCGCUUCCCCAGCCCACAGAACGCUUUGAACUGAACACAAGCCGUCACUGCGCUCCUCCAGAAACGUGUGCCGGUUGGAGCAAAUUAAAAAUCCGCGUUGACUCCCGACGUGUCACAUAAAGCUUUGAUGGUAUCAGAGGGACUCGACAGUGCAGUGUAAACGGGAGUUUGAGACUUUGGGUGAUUUUGUUUUAUUUUCUAUACAUUCUGUACAGUCUUUUCUGUUUUAUUUGUAUGUGUUUUCAUUCAUUAUUUGAGGUAAAGAAUGAUCAGAGAUCCUGCAGUAACUUUAAAGCCGCUGGUUUGGCUUUAGCUUAUAAAAGCUGCUGCUGGCGAGCCCCAUGGCCAUUUGUUCACAACUUCCAAAUCACGACGUCUACUCUGAUCGCUUCCCAGCAAACUCGUCGGAGGCCUCGAGAGGAUCGCAUUGGCUUCUCGAGCAGACUGAUGAUAUCGUAGAAAGCGGCGGCGGCGGCUGGAAGAGGAAGGGCGCCCAUGUUGCUGGCAGUGUGGGUGAAGAUAAUGUAACCU